rnacentral:rRNA from 1 species
UAGGGAAUCUUCCGCAAUGGACGCAAGUCUGACGGAGCAACGCCGCGUGAGUGAAGAAGGAUUUCGGUUCGUAAAACUCUGUUGUUAGAGAAGAACAGCGCAUAGAGUAACUGUUAUGCGUGUGACGGUAUCUAACCAGAAAGCCACGGCUAACUACGUGCCAGCAGCCGCGGUAAUACGUAGGUGGCAAGCGUUGUCCGGAUUUAUUGGGCGUAAAGCGAGCGCAGGCGGUCAAUUAAGUCUGAUGUGAAAGCCCCCGGCUCAACCGGGGAGGGUCAUUGGAAACUGGUUGACUUGAGUGCAGAAGAGGAGAGUGGAAUUCCAUGUGUAGCGGUGAAAUGCGUAGAUAUAUGGAGGAACACCAGUGGCGAAGGCGACUCUCUGGUAUGUAACUGACGCUGAGGCUCGAAAGCGUGGGUAGCAAACAGG